UACAGCCACAUCAUGUUGAAACACCAGUUCCCAUAUGAUCACCGAAGUUAAGCAACAUUGAACCAGCUCAGUACUGAGAUGGGUGACAAUUUGGGAAUAUCAGGUGCCAU